rnacentral:rRNA from 1 species
AGUGAACGCUGGCGGUAGGCCUAACACAUGCAAGUCGAACGGCAGCACAGUAAGAGCUUGCUCUUACGGGUGGCGAGUGGCGGACGGGUGAGGAAUACAUCGGAAUCUACUUUUUCGUGGGGGAUAACGUAGGGAAACUUACGCUAAUACCGCAUACGACCUACGGGUGAAAGCAGGGGAUCUUCGGACCUUGUGCGAUUGAAUGAGCCGAUGUCGGAUUAGCUAGUUGGCGGGGUAAAGGCGCACCAAGGCGACGAUCCGUAGCUGGUCUGAGAGGAUGAUCAGACACACUGGAACUGAGACACGGUACAGACUCCUACGGGAGGCAGCAGUGGGGAAUAUUGGACAAAGGGCGCAAGCCUGAUCCAGCCAUACCGCGUGGGUGAAGAAGGCCUUCGGGUUGUAAAGCCCUUUUGUUGGGAAAGAAAAGCAGCAGGUUAAUACCCCGCUGUUCUGACGGUACCCAAAGAAUAAGCACCGGCUAACUCCGUG